rnacentral:lncRNA from 1 species
CAUUGCAGACGGCAGCCAUUGCUGGAUAGCGUUGAUGUGUAAGCACUUCCUUUAUGAAAAAGUCUUCGCUGAUUGGAAUUAUCAUGCCCUCAAAUACGGUGAAAUUGUUAAGAACACGCCGCUAAGAAGGGCAAAAAAAUAAAAAAUAUCUUGAUGUUGAGAUGGGCACAUAUAAUGAGUUGCAGAGGGGCACCUGAUACUACCUUCUCUACUAUGUCGCCCAGACACAAUCCUAAUAACGUUCAAUCAUCUCCAUCUUUCUACACAACCACACUGCUACAAGUAAGCCAUUCCAUUUUUUUUACAGCGAAUACACAUGGUGAUGACAGAGGAAAGAAAACUUUAGACAUCGUGGGAGGCACCAGCUGAUUAUCAAGGAGACGUGAAGUUAAGGGCUACGUUUGUCCUAGAUGGCAAUAAAAAUAAUCCCAACGCUACCCAAUAGAGUUUUGCUAAAAAACUAGCCCACCGGGAUUGCAAUAAAAAAACGUGUUAUACAUGUGUUUUAUUUUUUAGACAAAGACUACAGCCCCAACAGCCUCUGUCCAGAUUCCGUCUAUUUAAAUAACCUGCGGUAAAAUCAAGGGUUUUGUUUAGUCUACAAGGAGGCAAUUUUGUCCAGUCCAGAAGAGUUUCUGAUAAGCCAUGGUUAUCUACGCUGUGAAGAGCCAACGUUGUACGUUAUGAAUUUGUAUUAUGGGCUACCAGUUCGUUGACAAGUGCUAACGUCGCUGUUGGCUUUUUAUGAAUCUAGUGGGUGAAAAUUGCGUGUUAGAAUGCACUUUACUUAAACGGCAGGGUCUCAUCAUUCCAGGACGGCCAUUCAUUUGAUAAAAGAUUGUACAAAAAAAAUUGAUUAAAUAAAGUAUUAUGUGAAACCGUA